UUUUGAUGUUCUUAAAGAUACUACUCAAGAUUAGGAGUGUGACUGUCAAAGGCGAAAAAUAUAGUUCAAUGGUUUCACUUUUUUAAAGUAUUUAACUGCACAACUACUCUUAUUACUGUCAUUAUACUUUGGACCAAUUUUGUUUAUGGUGAAAAAAAAUAAAACUUGGGAUGCAUAUGCGUUUUAAACGAAACUGAAACAAUAUCAAGACAUACAUUUCAUACAGCUUUAUAACUUGACGCAAAUUGAUAAUCAAAAGCAAAGUUUGCUAACUGUAACUUAAAUACUAAGAAAUUCUGUAUGUACACGUAUCCGUGGAGGACGUAAUUUCGUUCAUCAAAAAUGUGUCGGACUUUAAAAACAACUUACUGGAUUUGUAGAAAUUGUCAUUGUAAAUAAAAAAUUACAGUAAAUAAAUUGUAUGUUAUAAAUGUAUGUAAUAAAUGUCCUCAACUUUUAUUAUUUAGUACAUAUUACUAGUCCCAUCGUACAUUGCUUUUUUU
rnacentral:lncRNA from 1 species